AGCCGACGCAGGCAGCCGCCGGGUGAAGUACGCAGGUACCGCAGGUACCCGGCGCCCGCCCGAUUUCAGGGCAAGUUACUGUUUUCAGAAUCCAAGGGGAAUCUAACACCUAAACAAUGCCACGAGAAAAGGAAGGAAAACGAAAAACUAAAGGAGCACUCCUGCCCAUCAUUCCAACUCUUAAAAAGUUCCUGAAAACGUAUGAGAAGUAUUGUGCACAGACUCAGACGUCUGUGUGUCCAGCCAUCAAAAGGGACUUGAAAACCAGCAUCAAUAAUGAACAAAUUCUCAGGAAGUUUGUACUUGUAAGACCUGAUGACUCCCCGCCAGGCAUCCUACCAAUUUCCUUGGAACCUUUGCUCAUGACAGUUCAGGAUGAGUGUUUCACUCUGGGGAGAGAGAUCUGCAUUUGGGGCCUUCAACUGAGCAACCCAGAGAUGGCCAGACUCGCUUUGCUUUUGGAAUCAAAGGGGUGCACCACCUGCCCAUUUACCACCCUGGAACUCAUUGAUUGCAAGAUGGAUCUGUGGUCCCUGGGGAGACUUGGGAAGGCUCUUCAGUCCAGCAGUUUGCAAACUCUUGUUCUUGAUUACUGCAAAUUUGGAAAUGAAGAAAUUGAGAGGAUUUUCUCAGGCCUGGAGAACAACCAAAGGCUUCAAGUCCUCAGCUUACGUUACUGUGGUCUGGGGCCACAGAUUGGGCCAAGGCUGGGCUCUAUCAUAUGCCAGAGUGCCAUUUGUGAGCUGCACCUUGAUGGCAAUUACUUGCAGUGUUCUGGAGCUCUGGAUCUCCUCAGACCCGUAGCAGAGUAUGCAGAGAUGCAGGGGAAAGACCAGCCAGCCACUUGCUCACCAGACCCUAGGCAUCCCCCUCAGCUGCUCCAAGCUAAGCAGAGAGGAAGUUCAACUUUGAACCAGAUUACAAAGUCAUCUGGAGCUCUAACAAUGAAAACUACUUCAGGAAAGAAGAGAAAAAAAGGAAUCAAGAAAAAACUUAAAAAUUCGGAAGUUGGACCUUGGUUAGUGAAGUUGUAUUUGGCAGAUAAUGGCAUAGAUGGAAAAGGAAAAGAAGGAGAAAAUAACUUGCUGGAAUUCACUCAAAUUUUAACAUGCCUGAUCAAAUACUCUGCCCAUUUAAGGGAGAUUGACCUUGGAAACAAUGUCCUGGGAGAAAUGGCUGCUGCUGACAUUCUUGAAGCACUGAGAGCCAGAAAGACAGGUAAACUUCCAGUUUUAAAAGUUACAGUAACCCCCCAGAUCUCUUCAGAUACCUUCAUGUCUAUUUGGGAAAAUAGCAAGAAAUCAAGUACUACCCAUAAAAAGAGGAAAAAGGCUAGAAACUGAAUAUGGAUGCCAUAUAGCCAUAUGGAUUUUAUCUAUUUCCAUGACCUACCACACAUGCCUGGAAAGAUAUUGUUUGUUCUAUAAUAAUAUUUUUCACUAUAACCAAGCCCCUUUCAAGUUGUAAGAUUUGAUAAGACUCCUUAAUGAAAGUUCAAAGUAGUGUUAGUCCUACCAUGCUUGUCAUUUUCUAAAAUGUUGACUUUAUAAAUAAGCCUUGGUAAAAAUAAGUGGGAUUCUUCUCUGAAGCUUGUUCUCUUGUGCGUGUGAAAUUUAUAGUUUGAAGGAAGUCAUGAUCUUUAAGAAAGAAAGACUUGUCUUUCAUAAAUAUAUCUAUGGUUGGGAAAAAUAGGGAUUUUGGGGGAAAAUAACCACUUUCUAAAAGGCAACAACCCUAACAAUGGGGAUCUUCCCCAAAUGAGGAAAAUUCUGAUCACUCUACCCUCCACACUCUGUAAGAUUUCAAUAGCUCCAAAGGAAAUGGAAGCAGUAUCCUGAUCAAUGCAUAGAUGAUAAAUUGAAUUAGGUAAAUUGUAUACAGUACAGGGAUAAAAAGCAUGGGCUAGGCAAUUAGAUGAACCAGAAUUCUCUGUGGAAUCCUGCUGCUUUCCGGGUGACCUUGAGCAAGUCAGUUAACCUCCAGGUACCUAAACUUCUCCUCUGUAAGAUACAGAUAAGAAUGGUACCUAUCAGAGUUCCCUUGUGGUAGAGCAGGUUAAAGAUCUGGCAUUGUCACUGCAGCAGUUCUGGUGGCUGAGGACUUAAGACUUCAUUUUGAAGUUAUAAAAACAAACCCUGUCAUUCAUCCAACAUAUAAAAUGUAACAAGUGCUAGGAAGUUAGUGGAACCCAACUAACUGAGGAGGUGAGGUUGGGUACAGAAAAUUGUGUCCACUCUUGCAGAUUAGCAUCUAACAAGGAAGAUAAGAUCCUCAUACAUUAAAAGUAAAAAACAUUAGAGCAUGAGUUGAAAUAGUAUAAAUCCUUAGGGUAAGGAAGCCUACAGAGUAGUGACAUCAAUUUAACAAGUCUCCAGAACUUAUAUAUCCAAUGUGUGAGCCCUCCUGAGAAAUUGUUCUUGCUCAAAAACCAAAACAAAACAAACUUUUUUAAAGAUUUCCCACUGACAUCCACUGGGUAGAAGUGUAAAAUCCGUGUGCUUAUUUAGGGGUCUUUUGGCAAUGUCUAUCAAAAUGAAAAAUACAUAGCCUUGACUCAAACAUUCUACUUCUAGAAAUUUAUUUUACAGAUAUACCUCACACAUAUGCAAAGAAAUGUGUAUAAAGAUGUUCACUGCAGCAUUGUUCAUUGCACAGUGGAAACAGCUACAUGUCUCAAAGGGUUCUCCAGGACAUAAACCACAGGAAAUACACAUGGUGGAAAACUACCACACAGCCAUUAGGAAGAAUAAUGUGGAUAUGGAAGUGCUUAUAUGGAGAGAUGUCCUAGUCAUACUAUUAAAGAUAAAGAAAAGCCCAGAUAAGAGUAUAUGUGAAUUUUUCAUAUUAAAAAUGAACUAAGGGAGUUCCCAUUGUAGCGCAGUGGUUAAUGAAUCCGACUAGGAACCAUGAGGUUGAGGGUUCUAUCCCUGCCCUCGCCCAGUGGGUUAAGGAUCUGGCGUUGCCGUGAGCUGUGGUGUAGGUCACAGACUCGGCUCGGAUCCCACAUUGCUGUGGCUCUGGCAUAGGCCAGCGGCCGCAGCUCCUAUUAGACCCCUAGCCUGGGAACCUCCACAUGCCGCUGGAGCGGCCCUAGAAAAGGCAAAAAGACAAAAAAAAAAAAAAAAUUAAAAAUGAAUUGAUACAACAUGAAUCAGCAAUUUCACUUCUGGGUUUAUAUCAGAAAGAAUUGAAAGCAGGAUCAUGAAGAGAUAAUUGUACACCCAUGUUCAUAAAAGCGUUAUUUAUAAUAAUCAAAUGGUGGAGGCAACCUAUGGAUCUAUCGAUGAAUGAACACACACACACACACAAAAGAAUAUCACUUAGCCUUAAAAAGUAAGGAAAUUCUGACACAUGCUACAUACAGCAUGAAAGAACCUGGAGGACUUUAUGCUAUGUGAAGUAAACCAGUCACAAAAAAGACAGAUAUUGUACAAUUCCAAUUAUAUGAGAUAUUUAGAGUAGUCAAACUCAGAAACAGAAAGGAGCAUGGUGGCUGGAGGGAGAAGAGGGAGAUGGAGAGUUGUUUAAUGGGUAUACUUCCAGUUUUGGAAGGUGAAAAAGCUCUGGAAAUUGGUUGAUAACAAUGUGAAUGUGCUUGAUACUACUGAAUUCUACACUUUAAAAUUGUUAGGAUGGUAAAUUUUAUGUUAUGUGUAUUUUUACCACAAUUUUAAAAAUUCAAGUGAGUUGAUGUGCUCUGUGUUUGUUAGUACAUACAGAGCAAUUUCUGGAGACUCUAUUGACAGUGCUUGCUUUUUUUCCCACUGAAUACUCAUUUUCCUAUUUUAAAGGUCUUAUCACUUAUGAGCUAUCAAUUUGUAAAAACUCAAAAUUGUUUGAUAAUCAUCAGUAACAGCACUGUUUGGUUGUUAUGUGACCUAGUGCCAAAAGAGUGGAAGAAACACAAUAAGCGCUAUGAUUUUUCUGGGAGGAAUGCAUAAAUAGUAGCAAAGAGUGGUCAGUAAGGACACGAAAAUUAGUUUUCCUCACAGCAAACGCAAUGUAGUUAGAGCAGACAGAGGGAGGUUCUGACCACUUCCAGAGAUGUUAAAUGGAGUCGGGGGAAGAGAAGAGUCUAAGGUGUCUUUGGAUGGCUGAAUCAACUAAUCUGAUGAGGGUCUCAGAGAGGAGUGCUUGGAGAUAACAUUAGAAAGGUAGGUUGGGGCCAUACUGUGGCAGGAUUUAAAGGACCAGCUGGGACAUUUAGAUUUUGUUCUGAUGAUAAUGGAGAGCCAUGGAACAUUUUGAGCAGGCUAGUGUCAGGUGGAAAGGGGGAUCUAAGCAGAUUAAACAGGCACUUUAGAUUGAAUGGGGAGGCCAGACAAGAAGUCAGGACACAAUAAGCCAGGAACAGAGUGAAGAGGUUCAGAUGAGGCAUAAGCAUGUACCAUUCCUUGUCCCCUUCUUUUUUGGCCACACCCAGGGCAUGCAGAAGGGACAGGGAUUGAACAUACUACAGCUGUAACCUGAGCCAGAGCAGUGACAAUGCCAGGUCCUUAACCCACUGAGCCAUGAGAGGGAACUCCUACCAUUUCUCAUUCUUAAUCAUCCUCUAGCCUUUCAUCUGAGUUCCCUCCUUUUCUCUUUCAAACUGCCCAGUUCCCCCCAACUGGGGGCAUUUUAUCCUCAUCUGGUUCUAGCCUUCUUUUUUAAAUUAACUAUCUGGCAUUUAUAGCAUCUCUAGUCAGAUGUGUGGUAGCUUAAUGUGAGUAAAAUGUGUGUCCUUUAUGGUUCAUCUGGGUUUGUUUACAGGCAUUUUUGUCUGGCUCAUAAACUUAGUGGGGUCAACUUUACAUCUGCCACCACUACUACUGCUCUGUUCAACCUGACAGCCUUGCAGAGGUUUGCUUUCUCCACCCACUUCCGGGCCUCCGAUGCCUCCCAUCUUCCCCCAGUUCAAACGUCACCUCUUCCAUCAGCAUCUAGCCAAAUGUGACCCAAAUGUAUCCACAUUUAUAUUUUCACACAUAUAUGCUUCCUUGCCUCCUCCGCCAGAUUUCUGGAGCUUCUAGCCCCCAUCCAGACAUCAGGAGAGGAGGGGAUGAGGCCCAGUAGGAAAAGGUGGGAGGCUCUGAAUUCCAAACCCGACACAGCAGGUGUCCACCACUAGGUGGUAGUGGUGAUCAGGCAUCUUCGUGGGCUCUCCAUACCACAGCUUUCUUAUUUAAAUAGAGAUGUUAUCUGCUUUGCUUGGGAAAACAUAAUAAUAUGACCCCGGGCUAGAUGCAGAAGAACCCUGGAUUCAAAACAGUUACCUUUAGGGAAUAAUGGUGUGUCUUUAUCUUAUUUUUCUGGACCUCAACAUUCCUAUCAAUAAAAGGAGGAUGUUGGACUAGAUAGAGGUUCUC
rnacentral:lncRNA from 1 species